UAUAAGGGUCCGACUAAGCCAUGCGAGUCGAGAGGUGCAAGACCUCGGCGUACUGCUCAGUAACACGUGGACAAUCUGCCCUGAAGAGGAGGAUAAUCCCGGGAAACUGGGGGUAAUACUCCAUAGUUCGUGCUGACUGGAAUGUUAUGCGAACGAAAGAUCCGUCGCUUCAGGAUGAGUCUGCGGCCGAUUAGGUAGUUGUUGGGGUAACGGCCCAACAAGCCUGUCAUCGGUACGGGUUGUGGGAGCAAGAGCCCGGAGAUGGAUUCUGAGACACGAAUCCAGGCCCUACGGGGCGCAGCAGGCGCGAAAACUUUACCAUGCGGGCAACCGUGAUAAGGAAACCCCGAGUGCCAGCACAGGCUGGCUGUCCACCAGUGUAAAUAACUGGUGAAGAAAGGGCCGGGCAAGACCGGUGCCAGCCGCCGCGGUAAUACCGGCGGCUCNAGUGGUGGCC
rnacentral:rRNA from 1 species